CUGUUUAUCAAAAACAUGGCCCUUUGAGCUUAUAUUAUAAAGGGUCUGGCCUGCCCGGUGGGUUUCUAAACGGUCGCAGCUAAUACUGUGCUAAGGUAGCGUAAUAAGUUGUCCUUUAAUUGGGGAAAAGAAUGAAUGGUCGGAUGAUGGGGGGGCUUUAUUUAAAGCAGUAUUUUGAAUUUUUCUUCUAGGUGCAAAGGCUUAGAUGAGUAUACUAGACGAGAAGACCCUGUUGAGCUUGGUAAACUACAGCUGUUUAAGUUGAUAGUUAUGUUUGUUUGGGGCCGGACGGAAGGGAAAUUUAUGCCUUCUUAAUUCUGUAAGGAUCCAGCAAGGUUGAUUAGAGGAAGAUAGUUACCACAGGGAUAACAGCGCAAUCUCUUUGUAAAGGUCAUAUUAAAGAAGGGGUUUGCGACCUCGAUGUUGAAAUCAUAAUUUCUACUGGGUGUAGCAGCUUGGUAAGUAGGACUGUUCGUCCUUUAAAAUUAUACGUGAUCUGAGUUCAGAC
rnacentral:rRNA from 1 species